rnacentral:rRNA from 1 species
AUUGAACGCUGGCGGCAGGCCUAACACAUGCAAGUCGAACGGUAACAGGAAGAAGCUUGCUUCUUUGCUGACGAGUGGCGGACGGGUGAGUAAUGUCUGGGAAACUGCCUGAUGGAGGGGGAUAACUACUGGAAACGGUAGCUAAUACCGCAUAACGUCGCGAGACCAAAGAGGGGGACCUUCGGGCCUCUUGCCAUCGGAUGUGCCCAGAUGGGAUUAGCUAGUAGGUGGGGUAACGGCUAACCUAGGCGACGAUCCCUAGCUGGUCUGAGAGGAUGACCAGCCACACUGGAACUGAGACACGGUCCAGACUCCUACGGGAGGCAGCAGUGGGGAAUAUUGCACAAUGGGCGCAAGCCUGAUGCAGCCAUGCCGCGUGUAUGAAGAAGGCCUUCGGGUUGUAAAGUACUUUCAGCGGGGAGGAAGGGAGUAAAGUUAAUACCUUUGCUCAUUGACGUUACCCGCAGAAGAAGCACCGGCUAACUCCGUG